rnacentral:tRNA from 1 species
AGCAGCGUGGCGCAGCGGAAGCGUGCUGGGCCCAUAACCCAGAGGUCCCUGGAUCGAAAACAGGCUCUGCUA